CUGACAUCGUAGCAGAACCGUUCUUUCAUCAGAUUGUAGGGGUUUUACACCUGAGCCCGACUUCGUAGGAGCACCAUUGUUGUAUCAGAUUGUAAGUAUUGAAUUUCUUUAUCAUUUUCAAUAAUAACUUUAGUGAUUUGUUAAUUAAUUAGCAACAAAAAUUGCGUUUUCAUGUUUCCAAGGACUAAUUUUUGCUUGUUUUCGGGGUAAUCACCUGAAUGCGGCUGCCCCUUAACAUCAGCGGGGUCCCUAAUGAUGUAGAAUUUAAUUCUUGGUCGUAAAAGGAGUAAACGGUCUAAAAACGUGACUGAAACUGCUAAAAAUUGCAAUUUUUCCAUUUUUAACGAUUUAUUUCAAAUGCGAAUAUCUCGUAAACUAAAAGAGAUAGAAAGGAACGAAUCGCAGAGUCUUAAUCUACGGACUAUUCUCUAUAAAAUAAUACAUAUUUUGUUGCAGUAUUGUAAAGUAUUCUUAGGUGGGCUAGAAUACACGCAUAUGAAUGAAUGUAAACAAGUUUUUUUAUUGCUUUCAGCGUGCGUAUCUCAACAGCGAUAGUGACCUCGUGCAGUUGCUGUCGGCUGUGUGCAACUCAAGGCAUACGCAGUUCCAUUUCGGUUGUCGAGUGAAUCGCGCGUUUUCAUUGCGACUACUUUUUGUUCUUCAAAUCAUAAUUAGAUAAAUUGCGGAAUGUUCAAUUAACAAUUGACGGCAUUUACUGAAAUCGGAUGUGAAUGUGGUUUUGCUAGUGAGAUAGCAUGCGUUGAAUGUUCAUCAAUCGCGGAGUUAUCGGUGGUUCACCUAUGCGCGUGUGAUGUUCCGUCGGCCGUCGGUGAUUGUUUUUCGCUUGUGGAAUUACAUUGCACUCGUGUUAACCUAUGUGUAAAUAACCUGCGUGUCCACACAUACUUAAUAAUAACUUGGAUUUAUGUUUAAUUAAUAUAAAUAAACAACGUUGAUGCCUGUUGAAGAAGUUUAGGAGCACUUGUGCCAAGGAGUCUACCGCUUCCCUCGCAGAAAUGUUAGAGAUGCGCGUAUUACAAGGCAAGUUUUACUUUCAGGAGAUUUAAGAGCUGUCUAUGAUUUUCGAUUUUAAAGAAAUGUAUGUAGCUUUUAAUGUUGCUAAUAAAACAUAAUGUAAUAUUA